UCAAACAGCGGCCUUCGGGCCUUGCUGCACCCUUGUCUUUUGCGUACCGUAUGUUUCCUCGGCGGGCUUGCCUGCCGGUUGGACAUUAUAAAACCUUUUUGUAGUUGCAAUCAGCGUCAGAAAACAAAUAAUUAUUA
rnacentral:misc_RNA from 1 species